CGUAGGGUGCGAGCGUUAAUCGGAAUUACUGGGCGUAAAGCGUGCGCAGGCGGUUUUGUAAGACAGAUGUGAAAUCCCCGGGCUCAACCUGGGACCUGCAUUUGUGACUGCAAGGCUAGAGUACGGUAGAGGGGGAUGGAAUUCCGCGUGUAGCAGUGAAAUGCGUAGAUAUGCGGAGGAACACCGAUGGCGAAGGCACUCCCCUGGACCUGUACUGACGCUCAUGCACGAAAGCGUGGGGAGCAAACAGGAUUAGAUACCCUGGUAGUCCACGCCCUAAACGAUGUCAACUGGUUGUUGGGUCUUUACUGACUCAGUAACGAAGCUAACGCGUGAAGUUGACCGCCUGGGGAGUACGGCCGCAAGGUUG
rnacentral:rRNA from 1 species